AUGAGAUCUGACAAUUUAAGAAAAUACAUAUCACCCAUGGAUCAGGAUUAUGGAAGUGUAGAAUUUGUAAGACACAUUUAGGAAGAACUCUUCCACACAGACUGACUUUACCCUUGUUGACAUCAGAAAUCUGGAACAAAUUAGGAAAAUAGCAAACAGCUGGAGAAUAUGUAUUGCUUAUUGGAGGAGUGGAUAAGUGAAAGGCUUACAUCCUUGGAUGAACCUACCUCACAACUAUUUAGGGAACUUGUCAGUGAUUUGUUUGAACCAAGAAACAGUGACAUUCUAAUGUUAGAAAAUAGUACAUCAGAAACUGUUUAUACCAGUACAGUGGAACAUGGCAAACAUAUGUCUGAACUUACCAAUAAAUCACAGUGUGGAACCAAAAUUAACAUAACAGAAAUAGAUUUCCGAGACCUUCAGCAUGUUCAGUCAGAGGAAACUAAUAUAAAUGAAUCUAGACCGGAACAAUUAGAUGAUGAAAACGAACCACUUCAUAUGGAAUGCUUUACUGUGGGUGAAGAUGACACUGAAGAUAUAGAUCAAGAAGAUUAUAUGAACCAAGAAACAGAAACAGCUGCAAGAGAUUGUUCAACAUGACCAGAGCUUAGAUAUGGAGUGUACCAAUAUAAAAACAGAAGCUUUCAACAAUUUUACAAUUGGUAAUGAAGAAAAUGAAAUGAGAGGCACAAGCAAAAAUAAUGCUUUGGGUACACUAGAUUUUGAAAAAAGGAAAGAAAUGUAUUUUGUACCAGUAUUUUAAAUCAUUAAAAACAUCUUUUGUUGGUGCAAUAUGUGUGGAGAUUCAUUUUCUGCUAUUAGUGCUUUAACAUACCAUGUGAGAAUGCAACAUGGUAAAAUAAUAAAACCAUAUCAAUGGCAAAAACGAACAUCUGGUAUAGCUUAUGAUCUGAGCAAGUCUUUAGGAUAAAAUGCAGAUGGAAAUGUUGAGAGACAUAUGAAUAAGGCAUGUAAGGACAGUGGUCAAAAUGUCCUUUCAACAAAUUAAAGAAUUAUGAAAAUAGUAAUUUGAAUUAUGAAACAUUAAAGAGUAAAAUUCAACAUAUAAGAGGCCCAGUAAGGCCAAUUAUGCAAUCUGCUAUGAUGACAGUACAACCUGUACAAGAAUUUCCUGAAAAUCCCAAUACAUGUAGUUUACUGAAUAAGAAGGUGGACGAGAAAUGUGAAAUUAAUACAGAAAAUAAAAAGACAGAUGUCAAUCUUGAAGUAUUAUGUAAUGGAUCCAAACUUCCAGAACAUUUGAAACUUCAUAGUUAUUGUAAACCAGUGUUUCAUGUGAAGAAAGAAACUCCUACGGAGGAGGAUGAUCAUGUUCAGAAAAUGCCAGGACCAUUAACUGUAACUAUAACACCAGGAUAUCAAGAUCCAGGAAAGGGCAGUGUUCAUUAGGCUUAUGGGUUGAACCAGCAACUACAAGAAACUUUGGCAAGCAGUCCUGGUAAACUGAUGUUGUCUAAUGGAAUUGUACAAGGUGUCAAGAGUAUGCAGGUAGAUCGUCAAACCAACAGUUCAGACCAGAA